GCCGGGGUGGCGGAACUGGCAGACGCACAGGACUUAAAAUCCUGCGGUCAGUGAUGAUCGUACCGGUUCGACCCCGGUCACCGGCACCA
rnacentral:tRNA from 1 species